AGAGUUUGAUCAUGGCUCAGGACGAACGCUGGCGGCGUGCCUAAUACAUGCAAGUCGAACGAGAGCGACCGGUGCUUGCACUGGUCAAUCUAGUGGCGAACGGGUGAGUAACACGUGGGUAACCUGCCCAUCAGAGGGGGAUAACAUUCGGAAACGGAUGCUAAAACCGCAUAGGUCUUCGAACCGCAUGGUUUGAAGAGGAAAAGAGGCGCAAGCUUCUGCUGAUGGAUGGACCCGCGGUGCAUUAGCUAGUUGGUGAGGUAACGGCUCACCAAGGCCGUGAUGCAUAGCCGACCUGAGAGGGUGAUCGGCCACAUUGGGACUGAGACACGGCCCAAACUCCUACGGGAGGCAGCAGUAGGGAAUCUUCCGCAAUGGACGCAAGUCUGACGGAGCAACGCCGCGUGAGUGAAGAAGGUUUUCGGAUCGUAAAACUCUGUUGUUAGAGAAGAACAAGUGCUAGAGUAACUGUUAGCGCCUUGACGGUAUCUAACCAGAAAGCCACGGCUAACUACGUGCCAGCCGCCGCGGUAAUUC
rnacentral:rRNA from 1 species